UUACAGCCAUAUCAGGUUGAAAUAUCGGUUUUCAUCCGAUCACCGAAGUUAAGCAACGUUGAACCGGGUCAGUAUCUAGAUGGGUGACCGCUUGAAAACAUCAGAUUUUGCA